rfam:Rattus norvegicus strain BN; Sprague-Dawley chromosome 17 CRA_213000034356185, whole genome shotgun sequence.
UACUCCACUCCCUCCCCCUACCCUUUCUCCUCUGCGCUGGUGGCAGCGCUGAGCCGGGAGCCUGAGCUUUGAGAACUCCCCUGUGACGGCCGUCUUCGGUCAGAGCAUGCUCACUG